rnacentral:misc_RNA from 1 species
GGAAGGAUCAUUAACACAAAUGUUCUGCCGGAAGCCUCCCUCACCGGGGGGGGCGGAAGGCAAAAACAACUGGGCCGAGUCGGUUGCUGCUGCGUCACUUGCCUGCGCUUCCGCACACUGUGCGGGGCGUGGCAAAGCAGUCAGUGCCGCUCGACUCAUAACCCCGUGAACUGUUGAAGUCUUUCAACCGUGAACCACACACAAACGCCGUGCUUUACGCACACCCGCAAGGGUGUCGUGCAUGAUCAAAAUCAUGUCAGCGCGCGCGUGCGUCUGGCUGUGGAGCUCACUGAUCACACAAUGAAAGGGUGCUCGCCUGCGUGAAAGCACAGGCAGCGCCCUUUUUUUGUCAGCGACUCCCAAAAAGGCGCCCGCGCCCCUGCAUGUAACAAAUGUAAAACAAAAAACAACUUUCAACAACGGAUCUCUUGGUUCUCGCAACGAUGAAGAGCGCAGCGAAAUGCGAUACGUAAUGUGAAUUGCAGAACUCCGUGAAUCAUCAAAUUCUUGAACGUAAAUGGCGGUGCCCAACUCUUCGGGGCUGGACACCACAUCUGUGUGAGCGUCAUUUAAAUCACAAUAACCCGCAUGCCCCGCGUGGGUGUGUGUGCGAUGAUGUGGCGGUUCCAGCUGCUGCCCACAUUUAAUGUGGGUGUGGCUGAAUCCGUUCAAGUGAGCAAGGACGCGCGUGCCACCAAAUGGUUUGUCUGCGCUCCUGAUAUAGUAUUGUUGCGCAUACUGCACACACUGCAUCAGGAACGCCAGCAUGGGCCAUGGUACGAACAACGCGACCUUGAAUGCACUCUUCCGCCUCCUAACCGAGUCGGGAGAGCCUUCAAAUAUGACCUCAUAUCAGGUGAGAAGACCCGCUGAAUUUAAGCAUAUUAAUAAGCGGAGGAAAAGAAACUAACCAGGAUUCCCUCAGUAACGGCGAGUGAAGCGGGAAGAGCUCAAAUUUAAAAUCGGUGCCCUUCGGGCACUGACGUGUAAUUUAGAGAGGGACUUUCUGAAGCGGGCCCGGUCUAAGUUUCCCAGGAAUGGGGCAGCCAGAGAGGGUGACAACCCCGUAUUUGGCUGGGACUCCGCUUCUGUACGAGGUCUCCUCGACGAGUCGGAUUGUUUGGGAAUGCAGUCCUAAAUGGGUGGUAAAUUUCAUCUAAAGCUAAAUAAGGGCGAGAAGACCGAUAGCGAACAAGUACUGUGAAGGAAAGAUGAAAAGGACCCUGAAAAGAGAGUAAAAAGAGCGUGAAAUUGUUGAAAUGGAAGCGAUUGGGGCCAGUGUUGCUGCGUGCAGGCUCGGUAUCGGAGCGCGAUGGGGUGCUGGGUGGAGUUGCGCAAGUUCUCCCCCGGUGCCCCGUUGAGCGCCCCGGUGCUUACUGUUGCGCGCGGCGGCCAGGAUCAGUUUGCUGCCGCCGGACAAGGCCAGCGCCAUGGAAAGAGCUCUAUGGGGUGAUGGAGUGGCGUGCGGCGCAUACGGUGGUGCAGACUGAGGCAAGCCUUUGUGGCUGCGCAGGCGUGGGGGUGGCGGUGCGGCGGGCGUUUGCCUGCGGCGAGAUGCUAAGCAUGCUCGUCGUGGCGUGAGCGUCUGCCGUGCUGAUUCUCCCUGCAGCCUUGGGAUCCUGGCAAAAUGGCUCUAACCGACCCGUCUUGAAACACGGACCAAGGAGUCUAACAUAUAUGCGAGUGUUAAGGUGGCAAACCUUUGGACGCGCAGUGAAAGCAAAGGGCACCGCUGGGUGUCUGAGGUGGGACCCCUCCCUCCGGGGCCUGGGGGCACCAUCGACCGAUCCGGAUCCGCUUGCGGUGAAAGAUUUGAGUAUGAGCAUACAUGUUGGGACCCGAAAGAUGGUGAACUAUGCCUGCGUAGGGUGAAGUCGAGGGAAACCUCGAUGGAAGCUCGAAGCGAUUCUGACGUGCAAAUCGAUCGUCAAAUGUGGGUAUAGGGGCGAAAGACUAAUCGAACCAUCUAGUAGCUGGUUCCCUC